ACUCAAAGGAAUUGACGGGGGCCCGCACAAGCGGAGGAGCAUGUGGUUUAAUUCGAUGAUACGCGAGGAACCUUACCUGGGCUUAAAUGGGAAAAGACAGCCGCCGAAAGGUGGUCUUCCGCAAGGACUUUUUUCAAGGUGCUGCAUGGCUGUCGUCAGCUCGUGCCGUGAGGUGUUGGGUUAAGUCCCGUAACGAGCGCAACCCCUAUCUUUAGUUGCCAUCAGGUAAUGCUGGGAACUCUAAAGAAACUGCCUACGCAAGUAGUGAGGAAGGUGGGGAUGACGUCAAGUCAGCACGGCCCUUACGUCCAGGGCUACACACGUGCUACAAUGGCAAGUACAAAGGGUUGCUACCUGGUGACAGGAUGCUAAUCUCUAAAGCUUGUCUCAGUUCGGAUCGAAGUCUGCAACUCGACUUCGUGAAGUUGGAUUCGCUAGUAAUCGUAUAUCAGCAAUGAUACGGUGAAUACGUUCCCGGGCCUUGUACACACCGCCCGU
rnacentral:rRNA from 1 species